GUAGGUGAACCUGCGGAAGGAUCAUUAUUACAAUCAUUCACAACCAUCGUACUGUUGGCGUCAGCUAACAGUACGAUGGUCCCUUUUUGCUAGCAACUGCUUUGCAGUUGAUGGGAAAAAGUAUUUCUUUCUUUGCUGGCAACUCGCAAGCGAGUUGAGUAGGGCUCAGGACAAUCAACUGUUCGGCUCCCUUCAACUGCGUCAGCAGUUGCCAGCAAAGAAAGCAAAAACGAUAUAUGUUGACACACAA
rnacentral:misc_RNA from 1 species